rnacentral:rRNA from 1 species
GAGCACGUAGGUGGGUUUGUAAGUCAGAUGUGAAAGCCUUCUGUUCAACGGAAGAAUUGCAUCUGAAACUGCGAGUCUUGAGUGUAGGAGGGGAGAAUGGAACUUCUGGUGGAGCGGUGAAAUGCGUAGAUAUCAGAAGGAACGCCGGCGGCGAAAGCGAUUCUCUGGCCUAUUACUGACACUCAGUGUGCGAGAGCUAGGGGAGCAAACGGGAUUAGAUACCCCGGUAGUCCUAGCCGUAAACGAUGGGCACUAAGUAGAGGGGUUUUAA